CCAUACGUCCUCACGUCUCUCUCUCCCUCUUGUUCGUUUCUCCUUCUAAAAGUUCGAACUCUCAAACCCCUCCUCAGAACCUCUCUAGUUUUAUUUGCAUCUCAUCGACGUACCUGAAUUUGCUCCUCCUUGCGUUCGUGCUAUAGGUGCUCAAUAAUGUGCGAUGCGUGCUCGAUACAAUCUCAAUAGUCAUAAAGAUGAUGACGACGUGGAUCAAGAUGAGUUCUAAUCUUGUUAUUGUUGGAAGAUCGUGUUAUAAAAGGAGACGUUAUAAAGCCAAAGGGAAGUUCCAAGAGACAUUACAUUAUCUCCAGGAAGUUCUUAUAAAGAUCUUAAGAAAGAUAUUGCUUUAUUUUUUGAUCGUCAUUCGGUAAGAUGCGUAUGAUAGUGCGAAUCAGGUGAAAAGAUGUUCAAUCCCAAGGAACAUGACAACUACGAUGCAAAAAUGACUACAUGUUCGAUACGUUUC